rnacentral:lncRNA from 1 species
AAUAAUCAAAUCUUUCAGUAACUGAUAUGACAUCAACAAGCAUUGUUCGGGAAGAUAAGUCGAGUUUUUUGUCGGUGUUUUCGGGUCUCAUGAGUUGGAUUAGUUUUUCAACUCCUUGGAAAUCCAUCAAUCCUCCUUUAUCAGUGAUUUUGGAAAUUUCGGUUUUUAUUAUGUGUUCAGGUCUAAGUUGACCAGAAUNAAGAAUCUUCAGGUAAAGGAGGGGAACAUGCCACGUCAGAUCUUGAGAUUUCACCAGCUGCCACGCUGGCAAGAAGAUUCAUUCCACCAUCAUCACCCAUUGAAGGUGACACUGAGACACUAGCUUCAGAAAACUUAGCACAGCUUUCUACUAACGCGUUUAUAGAGCUAUAAGAAGGUUCAUAUAAUUUCCCUGGUUUUGGAGUGACCCCAGAUGAAGAACCACCAUGUUCAUCAGGUAACACAACAGUCACAGUUGCUGACUUGGCAUCAUCACAGCCCUCCAUUCCAUCUUUCCCAUCUGUAUCCAUUUUUUCCACAUUGCUCUGUAAAGAAUCGUUUACAGUUUUUCCACUUGUCUUUUGAUCUUGCUUCUCAGAAGGUGCCACAACACUUUGGUUGUUUCCAUUAUCUACAAUGGACACAUCAGACACAUGUCCAGCUCCUUUCUCAUUACCAAAAUUCCGGAUUUUUCCAAGAUUACCCUUUUCAUUUCCUGGAGUUGUGGAGCCAUGGAAACCAUUGCUUGAGUUCCUGCUAUUGUAAACACUACCAGUCUUCCCAUGAUCACUAGAGCAAGAUUGACUGUUGUUUGGAGAAUGAGUGGUGCUUGAACUCCUACCUUCUUUAGUUCCAGAUGAAGGCAUGUCCGAGGAUCCACCACCACCUCCACCACCGCCACCGCCAGUUGCCGCCAGUUUAUCGGCGGGAGAUUUGGCGGCAGGUUCACCGGAAUUAUUAUUAUUAUUAUUAACUUUCGGUUGUUGUGGAGAUUUUAAAGGGGAAGGUUGAGAGGUGGAAGUAGAACGUCUGUUUCCUAAAUGAGAAACAUCAGACAUCAUUGAUUUACUUGGCCAUGAGCCACCUCGACUUGUACUAGAUUUUGUUUCAAUCAUUGUCAUUUCAGCUUCCACACGUCUCUUCCAUGUGCUGACUAGACUUCUUGCUUUCUUCUGAAUCUCUGAAUUUUUAUGGCUUCUUAAAUGAUUCACAGAUUUCCCAACAUUACAAGUCUGUAAAGCAUGAAGAUUCACAGGUAACCUAUCAAGGGCACGAAGUAGAGAAAAAAGAAAAUCUUCAACAGAUUUAUCGUUUUCUUUUGGACUCCCAUUCCCAUCGCCGAUUUUACCCUUGUGGAUUUCUUGAAGCCAUUCAUCCAAAACUGACAAACCCCUUAAUUGAACAAACCGAGUUAAAUAAUCAAAUCUUUCAGUAACUGAUAUGACAUCAACAAGCAUUGUUCGGGAAGAUAAGUCGAGUUUUUUGUCGGUGUUUUCGGGUCUCAUGAGUUGGAUUAGUUUUUCAACUCCUUGGAAAUCCAUCAAUCCUCCUUUAUCAGUGAUUUUGGAAAUUUCGGUUUUUAUUAUGUGUUCAGGUCUAAGUUGACCAGAAUCUGCAUCGUCUACUUUGGAUUUGUGGACCCCGUGAUCUCUCUUUUUACUUUUAGCAUGUGAUGAAAUGGAGGAUGAACUAUUUUGUACAUUAUCUGAACUAGGUUUUAGCUGUGAACCAUUCAAGGGUUUUG